rnacentral:rRNA from 1 species
UGGGGAAUAUUGGACAAUGGGCGAAAGCCUGAUCCAGCCAUGCCGCGUGUGUGAAGAAGGUCUUCGGAUUGUAAAGCACUUUAAGUUGGGAGGAAGGGCAGUAAGCGAAUACCUUGCUGUUUUGACGUUACCGACAGAAUAAGCACCGGCUAACUCUGUGCCAGCAGCCGCGGUAAUACAGAGGGUGCAAGCGUUAAUCGGAAUUACUGGGCGUAAAGCGCGCGUAGGUGGUUCGUUAAGUUGAAUGUGAAAGCCCCGGGCUCAACCUGGGAACUGCAUCCAAAACCGGCGAGCUAGAGUAGGGCAGAGGGUGGUGGAAUUUCCUGUGUAGCGGUGAAAUGCGUAGAUAUAGGAAGGAACACCAGUGGCGAAGGCUACCACCUGGGCUCAUACUGACACUGAGGUGCGAAAGCGUGGGGAGCAAACAGG